rnacentral:rRNA from 1 species
UACCAGCACCCCGAGUGGUCGGGACGUUUAUUGGACCUAAAGCAUCCGUAGCCGGUUCUACAAGUCUUCCGUUAAAUCCAACUGCUUAACAGGUGGGCUGCGGAAGAUACUAUAGAGCUAGGAGGCGGGAGAGGCAAGCGGUACUCGAUGGGUAGGGGUAAAAUCCGUUGAUCCAUUGAAGACCACCAGUGGCGAAGGCGGCUUGCCAGAACGCGCUCGACGGUGAGGGAUGAAAGCUGGGGGAGCAAACCGG